rnacentral:pre_miRNA from 1 species
UGGCUCCCUUCUCUCCGUCUGCCUCCUGGCCGCGGGGCCCGGAGAGCUGGGAGCCAG